UUAGUUGGAUUUCGGGGCUCCUUAUGUAAUAGUCAUGCGGUGGACACUUGCUUGUUGCUUUAGGGGGGUGUUUUUUUGGGGCAACCCGAGGACACCACCCGGCGGCAGGGGAAAGGCCACUGCGGGCGGGGCCCAUUUAUAUUUCUCGAAGACGUCACGGGCCCUUAACUGGUGUACUGUGGUCGCGGAUUCGAGACGUUUACUUUGAAAAAAUUAGAGUGUUCAAGGCAGGCAAUCAAAAACGCUUGAAUACAUUAGCAUGGAAUAAUGGAAUAGGACUUUGGUCUUAUUUUGUUGGUUUCUAGGACUGAAGUAAUGAUUAAUAGGGACAGUUGGGGGCAUUCGUAUUUAAUUGUCAGAGGUGAAAUUCUUGGAUUUAUGAAAGACGAACUUCUGCGAAAGCAUUUGCCAAGGAUGUUUUCAUUAAUCAAGAACGAAAGUUAGGGGAUCGAAGACGAUUAGAUACCGUCGUAGUCCUAACCAUAAACUAUGCCGACUAGGGAUCAGUGGGGAACAAAUCAAAAAACUCCAUUGGCACCUUAUGAGAAAUCAAAGUUUUUGGGUUCUGGGGAAAGUACCAACGCAAGUUGGAAACUUAAAGGAAUUGACGGAAGGGCACACCAGGCGUGGAAUCUGCGGCUUAAUUUGACCCAACACGGGGAAACUCACCAGGUCCAGACAAAAUAAGGAUUGACAGAUUGAGAGCUCUUUCUUGAUUUUUUGGGCAGUGGUGCAUGGCCGUUCUUAGUUGGUGGAGCGAUCUGUCUGGUUAAUUCCGAUAACGAACGAGACCUUAACCUGCUAAAUAGCGACGUCAUUCCUUGUGAAGGACGGAUUUUGACUUCUUAGAGGGACUAUCGGUGACUAACCGAUGGAAGUUUGAGGCAAUAACAGGUCUGUGAUGCCCUUAGAUGUUCUGGGCCGCACGCGCGUUACACUGACAGAGGCAGCGAGUUUUUUUAAAUAUCCUGGCCUGGAAAGGUUUGGGUAAUCUUGUGAAUCUCUGUCGUGAUGGGGAUAGAUCUUUGUAAUUAUCGAUCUUCAACGAGGAAUGCCUUGUAAUCGCGGUUCAUCAAAUCGCGUUGACUACGUCCCUGCCCUUUGUACACACCGCCCGUCGCUACUACCGAUUGAAUGGUUUAGUGAGGUCUCGGGACUGGCGCGGCUUGGCUGUAAAAGGCCGAUCCAUGCUGGGAACUUGCCCAAACUUGAUCAUUUAGAGGAAGUAAAAGUC
rnacentral:rRNA from 1 species